AUUAUCUAUUUCUACUUCCGGGUGGGGAGUGAAUCAAUAUUGUUGUCUUUUCUAGCUUCAUCUUUCACUUUUGCACCGGCAAACAUUUGCCAAAGUUGUUUUUUUGCUAUGUAUCACCAACCUGUGUUGAAGAACAGGCGGACACUUUUGGAGAGAGCUGAGAAGUUUAUUUCUGAUGUUUACUUCACAGACUGCAACCUGCGAGGACGGCUGUAUGGAGAAUCUUACCCACUGGAAUCCCUCAGCCAAUUUAUGUCUCCUAAACGGAUAACAUUGAUGGAAGCUCAAACACAGAGUUUUACACCUUACAAUGUAGGCGAUACCUUUGGACCGACGUGGUGGACUUGUUGGUUUAAAGCAACCCUGAAUAUUCCAGAAUGCUGGAGAGGUAAAGAGGUUCAUGUUCUGUGGGAAAGUGAUGGAGAGGCGAUGGUUUGGAGGGAUGGACAAGCAGUUCAAGGUUUGACUAAAGAAGGUGAAAAGACAAGUUACAUUUUGUCUGACUGCCUCACAGACGAAGAACCGCACAAUGUUACCAUCUAUGUGGAAAUGGCCUGUAAUGGACUCUUUGGAGCCGGUAACGGGUCAAUGAUCGCACCUCCAGACCCAAACAGGAAGUUUUCUGUGCAAAAAGCAGAGCUUGUGACCUUCAACCGGGAAGUCAGGGAGCUGAUGACUGAUUUUGAGAUGCUCAUUGACAUUGUCAAGGAACUUGGCGAAGGCGAGCAGCGAAGCUACCAGGCUCUGUUCACCGUCAAUGAGAUGGUGAACUUGAGCGACCCCACUGAUCCCAGCUCUUUCUCUGGAGCACGGAGUUUGGCUCAGAAUUUUUUUAGCCAACAUAACGGACAAAGCCAGCACACUGUCCACGCCAUGGGCCACUGCCACAUUGACUCAGCUUGGCUGUGGCCUUAUGAAGAAACUAUUCGUAAGUGUGCCAGGAGUUGGGUGACGGUGAUCCAUCUCAUGAAAAAGAAUCCGGAUUUUGUGUUUACAUGUUCUCAAGCCCAACAGUUUGAGUGGGUCAAGUGCUGGUACCCAGGACUCUUUUCAGAGAUUCAGCAAUACAUUAAGGCUGGCCGGUUCAUUCCAGUCGGAGGGACGUGGGUGGAAAUGGAUGGUAAUCUACCCUCGGGAGAGUCCAUGGUCAGGCAGUUCCUGGAGGGCCAGCUUUUUUUUGAGCAAGAGUUUGGGAUGAGGUGUAAAGAAUUCUGGCUUCCAGAUACCUUUGGAUACUCGGCCCAACUCCCUCAGAUAAUGCAGGGCUGCGGAAUUUCCAAUUUCUUAACACAGAAACUAAGUUGGAACCUCGUGAACACCUUCCCUCAUAACACAUUUUUUUGGGAAGGCCUCGACGGCUCCAAGGUCUUGACUCACUUCCCACCUGGAAAUUCCUAUGAGACAAAAGGCAAGGUUGAAGACCUUGUAAAAACUGUAAAGCAAAACAAAGACAAGGGCAGGGCAAACCACAGUGUCAUGUUGUUUGGCUUUGGUGACGGGGGUGGUGGUCCUACGCAGUUGAUGCUGGACAGACUGAAGCGGGUCCAGGACACAGAUGGCCUUCCUAAGAUUCGAAUGUCCUCUCCUGACUCAUUUUUCUCUGAGCUUUGGGCCGACUCACAUCUGCUGUGCACUUGGGCAGGGGAGCUGUUUCUCGAGUUGCACAACGGCACGUACACCACACAGGCACAGAUCAAGCGGGGAAACCGCCAGUGUGAGACACUCCUGCAUGACAUUGAGAUAGCCAGCAGCUUGGCACUGUGUCAGGACACACAUUUUCAGUAUCCUGUAGGGAGGCUGAGAGAACUCUGGAGGCUUCUGCUACUAAACCAGUUCCAUGAUGUAAUCCCAGGCAGCUGUAUUGAGAUGGUUGUAGAGGAUGCAUUGAGAUAUUAUGAAGAUAUUCGUAGGAGUGGUGCCGCACUCCUGCAAGAUAGCCUUAGUGCUCUGGUGUCAAAGGGCGAUGCCACAAGUGUAUUCAACUCUCUGUCCUGGGAGCGCCUUGAAGUCAUUCAGAUUCAGGAUGGCCCCAGCAAUGAGUUUGCUCUGGUGCGAGUUCCCAGUAUUGGUGUGAAUUUAAUUCAAGAAACAAAGCCUGCGACUGCAGUUUGUGUUACUGUUCAGGAGGACGGCAGUGUCCUCAUGGAAAACGGCAUCAUACGCACUGUUGUGAAAAAAGAUGGCACAAUGGCAUCACUGCAUUUGAUAUCUGCAAACAGGGAAGCUCUUUCGGUUGGCUGCUGUGGUAACCAGUUUGUCAUGUUUGAUGACGUACCUCUGUACUGGGAUGCAUGGGAUGUUAUGGACUACCAUCUUCAGACAAGGAGGCCUGUGGUGGAAGUGGUGCAGCCUGCUCAUGUGCUCUCUUCGCAUGAACUCAGAGGAAGUGUCAGCUUCACGCUGAGGAUCAGCGACAAGAGUACAGUCACACAGGAGAUUGUGAUGGACGCCAUGUGUCCUUACAUUAAGUUCAACACGCAGGUGAACUGGGCCGAGUCACACAAGUUUCUUAAGGUUGAAUUCCCAGUGCAAGUGCACAGUCCCAACGCAACGUAUGAGAUUCAGUUUGGUCAUCUGCAGAGACCUACACACAGGAACACAUCGUGGGACUGGGCCAGAUUUGAAGUAUGGGGUCAUAAAUGGGCCGAUUUGUCAGAGCACAAUUUUGGAGUGGCACUGCUCAAUGACUGCAAGUACGGGUAUUCGGUCUUCAAGAACACAAUGGCGCUCUCGCUUUUGAGGGCGCCAAAGGCUCCAGAUGCCAACGCUGAUAUGGGAUCUCAUCACUUCACCUAUGCAAUCAUGCCACAUGCAGGGACCUUACAAGAUGCCGGAGUCAUCCAAUGUGCGUACAACCUCAAUUGCCCUUUAAGGUUAACCCCGUGCUCCUCUGACAUGGCGCCCUGGAGCGCCUUUUCCAUUAGCCCUGCAGCUGUCAUCCUAGAGACUGUUAAACAGGCGGAAGGCAGGAAGGGAGCCCUCCUUGUCAGAAUGUACGAGGCUUACGGCGGAGGUGUGACUGCAACCCUCCACACAACUCUUCCAAUCAAGGAGGCCUGGCAUUGUGAUCUUUUAGAGCAAACAGACACUACUCAGCCAGCAUGUGACUCUGCAGAUGGGAUCAUUCUCCACUUCACUCCAUUCCAAGUUAGAUCGCUGCUGCUUAUAUUUCAAACAGCAAGUCAUCAGACACAGAGUGGAACCUCUUAAGCUUUCUUGUCUUCACACGCAUCCUCUGACUCGAGGCCUUCCAGCACAGUCCGGGCAGGCACAAAGGGUGGAAUGUUCAACCUGGAAGACAAACAUGGGCAUCUUUCCAAAAACAGAAGGUGACCCUUGCCAAAGGCCUCGUACAUGACUGCCCCCUAGCCAGGGAUACGGUAAAGACCUCAACGGCGGAGCAGGCGGAAGACAGUAGAUGUAAGAACCACCACAACGGCUGCAAUAGCGGAAGAAGGCACCCCCACAUCCAUGUGGGCCCAGUUAUGGAGAAAUAACAACCCAAGACCUCAACGGUGGAACAGGCGGGGGAUGAUUGCUAACCCCACGGUGCAUCACAACGGCUGGGAUGGCAGAUGAAGGCUGCAGCAGAAAAGGGUCCCCAGUCCUCUUGGACUCCAUGCCACUGGAUCCUGACCCAGUGGUGACUGUCUGUGCAACAGUCUCCCCACAUUAAAAAAUAUCACGCACAAGCAUCCUCCAUAAAGGGAUGCUCCCCUACCAGGAGGAACGUUAUACUCGCUUCUAUGAUGACAAUGUAAAUAGUUAUGAA